AUUGAACGCUGGCGGCAGGCCUAACACAUGCAAGUCGAGCGGAGCGGCGGACGGGCGAGUAAUGCCUAGGAAUCUGCCUGGCAGUGGGGGAUAACGUCCGGCAACGGGCGCUAAUACCGCACACUAUCAGAUGAGCCUAGGUGGGAUUAGCUAGUUGGUGGGGUAAGGGCCUACCAAGGCGACGAUCCGUAACUGGUCUGAGUGGAUUAUCAGUCACACUGGAACUGAGACACGGUCCAGACUCCUACGGGAGGCAGCAGUGGGGAAGAUUGGACAAUGGGCGAAAGCCUGAUCCAGCCAUGCCGCGUGUGUGAAGAAGGUCUUCGGAUUGUAAAGCACUUUAAGUUGGGAGGCGUUACCAGCAGAAUAAGCACCGGCUAACUUCGUGCCAGCAGCCGCGGUAAUAC
rnacentral:rRNA from 1 species